CAAUAGCGUAUAUUAAAGUUGUUGCAGUUAAAAAGCUCGUAGUUGGAUUUCUGGUUGGUACGGACGGUCCCGAGUCAUCGGCGAACUGUGUGUGCCGACCUUCCUCUCGGGGGCUGCGUGGUGCUUCACUGUGCUGCGUGGAAUUCGAGACCUUUACUUUGAAAAAUUAGAGUGUUCAAAGCAGGCCUUUGCUUGAAUACAUUAGCAUGGAAUAAUGGAAUAGGACUUUUGUUCUAUUUUGUUGGUUUCUAGGACAGAAGUAAUGAUUAAUAGGGACAGUUGGGGGCAUUCAUAUUCCAUUGUCAGAGGUGAAAUUCUUGGAUUAACGGAAGAUGAACUUCUGCGAAAGCAUCUGCCAAGGAUGUUUUCAUUGAUCAAGAACGAAAGUUAGGGGAUCGAAGACGAUUAGAUACCAU
rnacentral:rRNA from 1 species